rnacentral:tRNA from 1 species
GGCACUAUGCCUGAGUGGUUAAAGGACAGACUAGAAAUCUGUUUCCGCGCGCAGGUUCAAAUCCUGCUGCUGGUGUCG